UGGGGAAUAUUGGUCAAUGGGCGAAAGCCUGAACCAGCAAUGCCGUGUGGGUGAUGAAGCUUUUUGGAGUGUAAAACCCUUUUAUGAGGGAAGAAGGUAAUUCGGUUAAUACCCGGAUUGUUUGACGGUACCUCAUGAAUAAGCCCCGGCUAACUCCGUGCCAGCAGCCGCGGUAAUACGGAGGGGGCGAGCGUUAUUCGGAAUUACUGGGCGUAAAGGGCGUGUAGGCGGCCUAGCAGGUCAGAUGUGAAAUCCCCGGGCUUAACUCGGGAACUGCGUUUGAAACCGUUGGGCUUGAGGCUGGAAGAGGAAAGCGGAAUUCCUGGUGUAGCGGUGAAAUGCGUAGAUAUCAGGAGGAACACCGGUGGCGAAAGCGGCUUUCUGGGCCAGUUCUGACGCUGAUGCGCGAAAGCGUGGGUAGCAAACGG
rnacentral:rRNA from 1 species